CUGUCCAUGAAGGAAAAAAAAUUCCAGAGACGGCAUCUAUUAUAGUGUCUGGGUGCCCCCUAGCGUAUGGAUAAUUUCAGCCUCGAACCUAGCUCAAAUACAGAAGAGCCAUUUUUAACGGAACCUGCUUCGAUCUUCCCUCUCUCGCUAACACUAGUCACUACUGCCCAAUUUAAUCAGAUUACCGCUUUAGGAGUCGAUACCUAAUUGUCUUGGACGUCGCUGCACUACUGUGUGUUGGUUUUCACUUUUACCUUUUUAUCUCAGUUUUGGAUGCGCACCGGAGUCUUUUUUGUUUGUUUGUUUGUUUUGUGUAGGUUACUCGAGGUUUUGUUUGAAACAAUUAUUGACACAUUUAGCCUGAGUGCAGCACUUUCCCCUCCGGUCAUUUCCUCGUUUCCUUCCUUAGUCUUUUUCUGCAAAAUUGGCUGUCAAAAGAAUACUAGCGCUCUCUAAAUAAUACCCGUCUCAUUCUGGAUUUUACCGAGUCUUUCCAGUGGGACUCGUUUCAUCCUGAAAUGCUGGCAGAGUUUUGUGGUAUGGAGACGGGUCUCUGUCAGCAUAGAGAUGCCUUCCCUGGAGGUCAGCCUGUUGAGGCAGGCAUUAGGUGUCACACAGCAAGGAUGCUGCCACCUAUUGAAGUCUGUCUGAAGAAGAUUAAUACGACAUGCCAGCUUUCGGAAAGCACUCCUUUUGCUGAAUAUCUAUCCUCUGACACAAGACAGAUCAUAGGCAAACACUUUGUUAUAUACCUGUUGUGGACAAUGCAUUCAACCCAGAAUUUUUAAUGGUGAGAUCGAUCAAAAAGCUGAAGGCCACAUGAAGCACCUGACACGCAAGCAAAUGCAAAGUGAAAUCGUCAGAAGAACCUCAACAAGCACGUCCAGCUCUCCAGCAGCUUGGGAUCCCGAAAAGUGAACCAGCCGCAUCCUUCCACCACAGCGUCAAAGGCCCAUUCGACUGGAAUGAUCAUUUUUGACACUCAGGUGUGACCCUAAUAUUAAAUGAUCAAGAAAACUCAUUAUGUUGAAUGUGUUAUAUUAGUUCAUGCACCGGAUAAUCUUUAAUCACUCAGAAAGUCACCUUUAUUUAUUUCCAAUGUUUGGUGGACUGUGCAUACUAAGGAUCUUGGGGCCACAAAUCUUUGUGCAAACCAUUUUUUCCCUCUUCUGUGAAGGAAAAAAAAAAUCUUUUGUAUAGCUCAUGUGAGGCUUUUAUCUUGUCAUAAAAUCUUCAGACUGUUCACAAGUGUCAACUAAUACCAGCACUUGGCUUUCAAUGGUCUAGACUUUCCUUUAUGUGGGAAACAUUAUAAGAGGGAGACUGAGGCGAUGGGUGUGAGACAGAUCCUUAGGAGAAGGGCGUGACUUUUGAAAGGCGAGAGGAUUGGGUGACGUUUGUACUCCUUCGCCAUGCUAUACCAGGGCCGUGGCCUGUUUUAGCUCCUGAAAGAGUUUGUGUCAGGGAGCAAAUCACACAACGUCCACCACAAUGGACUCCAGAUCCACUGUGUCAUUUUCGUACACCUAAUCCCUCACUCCAAUUACCGACGGGCUGAUUUUAAUGAAAUCUCACCAUGUAAAAUGAAUGCCAGUGACCUUGUAGUCCCUUAUCCGCGUUUGCAUGUAUUCCUGCAUAAUCAGGCUGUUUUGACUUUGUCAGCUUCUUUAUCUAAUGAACGUAUGUCUUAUGGGUGAUUCAUAUGCGCAGUGUUUCACUGCUUUCUUGUUGAUGUGAGAGCAGUGAUUAAUGCACACACACAGUGUGUUUUCAUUAGUGAUGUGAAUGUUCGCAGAAACAACAUACCGAUAAUGAAGUGGCCACAAAAUUCACAGAGCUAACUCAAGACUGAAUAGUGUGCCUUGAAUCCCUAUUGGGUUUUGUGCAAGAUGAUUAGAGAAUGAAGAUUAGAUUAGAGAAUGAGAAAUGUAAUAAAAUGAAGUUAAAACUCUAAGAUAAGUCCCAGGAGAAACUUUGGAUUGUAUGUAGGGGAAAGUUUACAGUGGCAUUCAAGUCAAGCUCCACUCGUGUUUGCACAAAAAGUAUCUGUGAUACGCAACCGCGGACACUGACCUGCAGAUGAAACACAUUGUGCAGAAUGCCAGCAUUAUGAGUCACUGACUGCAAUGUAAUUGCUUCCACAUUACAGGCAUUUCCCCUCUCAUGGAAGGCAUGGCUUGUUCUUGAGUCCAACAGAACAAUGCCAUAUGUUGCCAAUGAGUUUGCUUUACAUAAUACUGCUGUUGCAUUCUGCUUCUUCAUGAUUAACAUUGAGAGUCUCUUAUAGGGAAUAGUAAUAUAGUAUUAGCCAAUAUGUAGGGACACUUGCAUGUAUGCAUACUUAUUUAUGUACAAGGUGUGUUCUCUGGGUGGUUGUAUGAAUACUUAUGUUUGAAUGUUAUUCUAUAAUUCUAAGAAGCAAAAAUGCUAAAUUUAAGAAUUUUAAUUAAUGUCUGUUUGAACACAAUAUCUAAAUUAAUCUCAUUUGUCAUGAAUAGUAAAUCUAAUUAAUUGCAGGUAAUUUAGUUUCAUGUCCUGUUGCUGACUCAGUGCUUUGCAUUUUAGUGGUUUCAAUGUACCAAUCAACAAUUCAAUGUACCAUGAUAUAUGUCAUUCCAGUGACAACACAAAUCAUAAAUACCACGGAAAUU